AAUGAAUUCAAUGGUUACAUUUUUUGAUGAUGUAAAAUCAAAGAAUCAUCAAAAAAUAGAUAAAACAGCUUUUAUAGUAUCAGUUAAAGAAUAUGAAUGUUUGUAUAAUAAACAUAAUAAUUUAUAUAAAAAUAUUAUAUACAAGAAUAAUAUUUGGGAAUUAUUAGCCCACCAGUAUAAUAUGGCCAAUUCAUCUAUCAAAGCUCUUUGGAAAAAUCUAAGAGAUUGUUUCAUGAGAGAAAGACUAAAAAUGACCAAACUUAAGAGUGGGUCACAGGCAGACCAUCAUAUUUCAUGGCCAUACUACCAGGAAAGCUAUUCCUGGUAGAAACUGUAACACCAAGGUUACAGUUAUCCUCUUUAGAUAUGGGGGAAGGAUCUAUUCCAAAAGAUGUAAAUAAUAUCUUUAAUGAAAUUAUUGGGGAGACAAAUGAAUUUGAUUGUAUUGAUAGUGAUCUUAUAAUAGAUACUAUUAUUCCUAAAGGACCUCCAUCACAG